UACGUAGGGGGCAAGCGUUGUUCGGAAUUACUGGGCGUAAAGGGUGCGCAGGCCGCGCGGGCAGUCAAAUGUGUAAUUCAGGGGCUCAACCCCUGCACUGCGCUUGAUACUUCCGCGCUCGAGCUUUGGAAAGGAGUCUGGAAUUCUCGGUGUAGCAGUGAAAUGCGUGGAUAUCGAGAAGAACACUUAGGGCGAAGGCAAGACUCUGGACAAAUGCUGACGCUCAUGCACGAAGGCUAGGGUAGCGAACGGG
rnacentral:rRNA from 1 species